GAUGAACGCUGGCGGCGUGCCUAAUACAUGCAAGUCGAGCGAACAGACGAGGAGCUUGCUCCUCUGACGUUAGCGGCGGACGGGUGAGUAACACGUGGAUAACCUACCUAUAAGACUGGGAUAACUUCGGGAAACCGGAGCUAAUACCGGAUAAUAUAUUGAACCGCAUGGUUCAAUAGUGAAAGACGGUUUUGCUGUCACUUAUGGAUGGAUCCGCGCCGCAUUAGCUAGUUGGUAAGGUAACGGCUUACCAAGGCGACGAUGCGUAGCCGACCUGAGAGGGUGAUCGGCCACACUGGAACUGAGACACGGUCCAGACUCCUACGGGAGGCAGCAGUAGGGAAUCUUCCGCAAUGGGCGAAAGCCUGACGGAGCAACGCCGCGUGAGUGAUGAAGGUCUUCGGAUCGUAAAACUCUGUUAUUAGGGAAGAACAAAUGUGUAAGUAACUAUGCACGUCUUGACGGUACCUAAUCAGAAAGCCACGGCUAACUACGUG
rnacentral:rRNA from 1 species